rnacentral:rRNA from 1 species
UCGGGAAUUUUGGGCAAUGGGCGAAAGCCUGACCCAGCAACGCCGCGUGAAGGAUGAAGUAUUUCGGUAUGUAAACUUCGAAAGAAUAGGAAGAAUAAAUGACGGUACUAUUUAUAAGGUCCGGCUAACUACGUGCCAGCAGCCGCGGUAAUACGUAGGGUGCAAGCGUUAAUCGGAAUUACUGGGCGUAAAGCGUGCGCAGGCGGUUGUGUAAGUCAGAUGUGAAAUCCCCGGGCUCAACCUGGGAAUUGCAUUUGAGACUGCACGGCUAGAGUGUGUCAGAGGGGGGUAGAAUUCCACGUGUAGCAGUGAAAUGCGUAGAUAUGUGGAGGAAUACCGAUGGCGAAGGCAGCCCCUGGGAUAACACUGACGCUCAUGCACGAAAGCGUGGGGAGCAAACAGGAUUAGAUACCCUGGUAGUCCCUGAGCGGGCUGGCAAGGCGCAU